rnacentral:lncRNA from 1 species
UUCAAACAACCAACAGCCAUACGAUUAAGGCAGAUUUCAUCAUCCGGCUUGAAGUCGUUGGAUUUGGCCGGAGAAGAAAAGAGGUGCGGUGCCGGUGAUCUCGCGUGUCGCAUAGAGCAGGAGAUAAGUUUUUCUCUGAGUUGUGAGGCGAAGAACAAACUGUGGGGUUUCUUAUCGAAAGUCAAAAAGAUGCGUGGCAAAUCUCUGAAGCACACAAAAUAAACUGGCGCAAACCAUCGAUGUUGUUUGAUAUAUAACUAGCUGGCGUCUCGCGCGUUGCGGCGGAUGCGCCAAUUUAAGCAAACUGCAUCUAAAUCGACACUAAAGGAAUUCGACUUCUUUGGGGCAUAAAAUGAAAUACCUAAACUCUGAAAAGGAAGUUACUGGAUCUUCGCCGUAACCGGAGCGUUCGUCGGAAUGUGUUUCUGCACGCCACCUCUUGAACCCUAAUCAACACACUCGCAAGCAAAAUGUUGGGGUCGACUGAAUUGCCAAAACAUCAGCAAUCAAGCAAAGUCACAGAUAAUGAAGCUGAGGCAGUGGAACUAACACCACAUCUCGAAUGAAGUGGAUGUCAGUCUGUGUUUCGCAUGCUAAUGAAACACCUGAUUGGUCUUCAUAUAAUAUAAGUAUCACCAGUACUUGCACAACAAAGCUACGGUCUAUGGUGAACUUAGGAGGGUGACACAAAGGUCAAAAACAGUUAAGAAAACCCAACGUCUAGAAUGCCAAAGCGACCUAGAAAGUGACAGCAGUAGACAUAGCAUAACUAUUGUGAGUAUAAAUGUGAUAAGAGCAUCAAAAACAUAACAAAGAUAUGAGAAUUUAACAAUACACGACUGACAUAAGAUUUUUUGUAAGACCUGAAACUAAAAUAACACACAUGAUGGUGGAAUGGCCGAUAUGAGUAAUGUUACAGAUUUUUCCAUCUCUUCUCGAUAAGCUCACGCACCCUCAACUAAAGUAGGAUCAGAGGUCAUAUGCUCAGUAGCACCAAACUUCCUGAUCCAAACGUCGACUAAAUCACAAGCACCCAGAGCAUAUAAAUUUGCAACAUAACCAGCUCGAGAAGUUUGUCUGGAAUUACUUUUAUCAUUUCUAUACCACUCGAAAAGUCCCAUGGAUUUGUUUAUAACCUCGGUAUAUGAUCGACUCAAGUAACAAAUGGAUACACAUCUCCUCUACACCAAGUAUACAGAUCUAAAGGUCUAAAAAGAAUAGCACUUAUUAACAGUAAAACAAUAACCGUUACUUCACCUUAGAAGCAGGCGUAUCUUCUUGUUUCAGUUCUGUCUGAAAAAACGGAAAAGCAGUAGGAGAAGUAGCAGUCUCCAUAGCAUCAACCGCUACUCUAACCUUAAUAUCACGAAGUUUCUUACAUUUCUCCACGAAAUUAGGUUUAGUUGCGGCCAAGUUGUUCUUCCCA